UACGGAGGGGGCUAACGUUGUUCGGAAUUACUGGGCGUAAAGCGUACGUAGGCGGCUUUGUAAGUUAGAGGUGAAAGCCCGGGGCUCAACUCCGGAAUUGCCUUUAAGACUGCAUCGCUUGAAUCAUGGAGAGGUGAGUGGAAUUCCGAGUGUAGAGGUGAAAUUCGUAGAUAUUCGGAAGAACACCAGUGGCGAAGGCGACUCACUGGACAUGUAUUGACGCUGAGGUACGAAAGCGUGGGGAGCAAACAGG
rnacentral:rRNA from 1 species